CUGAAACUCUUCAGAGCUUCUCUUUCACAGAGGGGACACAUGUUGAUGCUAGAAUAGACAUGAAGAGAUGGGGACACAAGUGAUGUAGAAGAGACAUGAAGAAGAAGGGAACACAGUGUGAUGUAGAAGGACAAUGAAGAGAGGGGACACAAGUUGAUGUAGAAGGACAUGAAGUAAGACGGGGACACAUGUUGAUGUA